rnacentral:rRNA from 1 species
GAUGAACGCUAGCGACAGGCCUAACACAUGCAAGUCGAGGGGUAACGAUGGUAGCUUGCUACCAGGCGACGACCGGCGCACGGGUGAGUAACGCGUAUGCAACCUUCCUUUAACAGGAGAAUAGCCCCCGGAAACGGGGAUUAAUGCUCCAUAGUAAUUAUUUGCCACCUGACAGAUAAUUUAAAGUUCCGACGGUUAAAGAUGGGCAUGCGUGACAUUAGCCAGUUGGCGGGGUAACGGCCCACCAAAGCAACGAUGUCUAGGGGUUCUGAGAGGAAGGUCCCCCACACUGGUACUGAGACACGGACCAGACUCCUACGGGAGGCAGCAGUGAGGAAUAUUGGUCAAUGGACGCAAGUCUGAACCAGCCAUGUCGCGUGCAGGAUGACUGCCCUAUGGGUUGUAAACUGCUUUUGUACGGGAAGAAAUAUACUUACGUGUAAGUAUUUGCCGGUACCGUACGAAUAAGCAUCGGCUAACUCCGUG